UCUCAAGAAAGCCUUUUUCUGCACCCAGAGGCGAGGCAAGGAAAUUACCUUACCUCUCUUUGUCAGUAGGUGAUGUUUCUCUCUCUCACCUUUCACUGAGGUAGCAGAUUUGAGUUUCUCCAGCUAAUGCAUCGGUCUCUGUUCCUAAUCUGUGCCUCACUAAAGUCCAGGCCUACCAGCCUCUUCCCUGAGCAGAGGUCACUGAACUGAACACUGGGUGUCCAGAGGGUGAACCCCCUCAGGGCAGCUGUCAUCAAAGCCUUUGCCCAUUUCUCCAUCUUGUAGCUCCCUCCCUCUUCACUUUGGUCCCUGGAGGGUACCCUUAUUUUCUUACGAGCCUGAUUAUGCACUUAAAUGAUAUGUUUGGUAUUUUAAUCAGAACCUGCAGGUGUGUGAUUAACAGGAAAGAUCUUCAUAAUGUUCAGGCCACCAUGUCUCCAGCAGUGAAAGUACUUGGAGAGACCCUUGAAGAGUGAGUGGGACUGUCCAGAUGUGUAGAAAUGAGGGCCUGAGGGAGGCACAGGGGCGUGGGGCAGCAGGACCAGGGCAUGUGGAAGGACAGAGUGUGAGCUGGCGUAGAGGUGGAGCUGAGAAAAGAGACUAGAGGCAGGAGAGCUUUGCAGUUCUUCUAAGGAAUAUGGACUUCAAAAAUGGUUAAAGGUGGUUUUCCAACUUUUCUUUUUAGUACCAAAACACUUUUUUAUUUAACAAAAAUUACCAUGACUACAUGAUCCAGCAAUUCCACUUCUGGGUAUAUAUCCCAAAGAAAUAAAAACAGGUUCUCAAACAGAUACCUGUAUAUCUACAUUCAAAAUAACAUUAUUCACAAUAGCCAAAAGGUGGAAACAACCCAAGUGUCCACCAAUGGAUGAAUUGAUAAACAAAAUGUGGAUAUACAAUGGAACAUUAUUCAGUCUUAAAGAGGAAGGAGAUUUUCUGCACUAACUUGACCCAGCUCCUCUGACAUGAUUUGCAUGAGCCUCUGAUUCCCACACUAGAGUGGAAGCUCCUUAGGGAGAAGGUCUGUGUUUUUCUUGUCUUUGUUGCCUUUUCCCCUAACCUCAGCUUAACACAAUGAUUGCACAAAGUGCUCAUUAAGGCUUUUAAAUGAGAGAGUAGAGGCCGGGCACGGUGGCUCAUGUCUGUAAUCCCAGCACUUUGGGAGGCCGAGGCGGGUGGAUCAUGAGGUCACCAGAUCGAGACCAGCCUGACCAAUAUGGUAAAACCCUGUCUCUACUAAAAAUAGAAAAAUUAGAUGGGCGUGGUGGCACGCACCUGUAAUCCCAGCUACUCGGGAUGCUGAGGCAGGAGAAUUGCUUGAACCUGGGAAGCAGAGGUUGCAGUGAGCCGAGAUCACGCCACUGCACUCCAGCCUGGUGAUGGAGCGAGACUCCGUCUCAAAAAAAAAAAAAAAAAUGAGAAAGUAGAAAUCAUGACUCACAGGCCAGCAAGUAUACAUGUUUUUAGAGAUGACACAAGUGAUUGCAAACAGGCCGGGUACAUGAGACAGCCUGAUGCAGGCACAUGGGGGUCAUCUCUGGCUGGCAGGAAGGUGAGGGAGUCCUCUCUUCUCUGGUCCUGGCUGACUCUGCCUCCGCAAGACAUCACUUGCCCAUUCUCAGCUUCUAUCACCUCAUCCUUAAAGUGACAGAGUAAAUUAACUCUAAGGCCCCAUCCAGGACUCAAGCUGUGUGAUUCUACAAAAAUGAAAAUUAUAUCAAUAAUCCCAUUGUAAAAUCCCAAAAGAAAGUCAAGAGACUAGCAGAAGGAUAGGUGGGUGAUGGGAUAUCCUGGACAGAGCCUGGAUCAUGAGGUCCCCGUGUAGUGCUUGUAUUACGCAGAUGUUUCCUCUUGAACUAUUUUAAAGGUGUGGAAAAAGCCAAAGCAAUGCCCUCUCCACGGAUACUAAAGACUCACCUUUCCACUCAGCUGCUGCCGCCGUCUUUCUGGGAAAACAACUGCAAGGUAAGAUACCAACAGCUCCCUGUGACAGAAGGGAAAGUAAGCCAACCAAAGCGAGUCCUGCAGACCCCAACGCAGAGCAUUCGUCAUCACCUUUGCCUCUCCACUGUCUCUGAUGCUUACCAGCAAAGAGAAAACGUAAAGUUCUACACUCAGCAGGACAUUCACCUGAACAGUUUCAAAUAGGACAUAAAGGCAGGAUCCAGACUGAAUUUUUGGAGGGAACUAGAGACAUGGGGAGGCAGUGAGUGCAGUAAGCGUAGCUGUGAAAUGAAGGUGAGAAGAUGGUGGUCCCAGGCUGCAGGCCAUGGGGAGGUUCUCUAACAGACCAGGGAGGGAAGAAUGAGAGGAAAAAAGCUAAAGCUCUCCCCAAAGGGGGCCGGGCGCAGUGGCUCACGCCUGUAAUCCCAGCACUUUGGGAGGCCGAGGUGGGUGGAUCACAAAGUCAGGAGAUCGAGACCACGGUGAAACCCCGUCUCUACUAAAAAUAAAAAAAAAACUUAGCCGGACGCGGUGGCGGGCGCCUGUAGUCCCAGCUACUCGGAAGGCUGAGGCAGGAGAAUGGCAUGAACCUGGGAGGCGGAGCUUGCAGUGAGCCGAGAUUGCGCCACUGCACUCCAGCCUGGGCCACAGAGCGAGACUCCGUCUCAUUUAAAAAAAAAAAAAAAAAAAGUUCUCCCCAAAGGGUAAACAGAUGAACAGGCAGAGCAACGCUCUUGAGGACACCCCACCUCAGCCUCUGGUAGACUCUGCGUUCUUCGUUUUAUUUAUUCUGUGACUUUAUUUGUAUGCACCCCAGUGCCUAUAAGUUCCUGGCACAUAGAGGGCAUUAGACACGUCCUUGCUGAGUAAAUACGGAAGGUGCUGUAGAGCAGGUGGAGUCAAGGGUACAAACUAAGCUGCCAGCCUUGGUGAGAAAGUGGGGCACUGUUUCCUUAAAGGCAAGAAUGAAGGGGAAAGAAGGGCUAAGAAAGACAUGUUGCUAGGGGACUGGAGUGAAGUUGGAGGACUCAAAUAAAUGACUUCAGUCCUUUUAGUAAUAAUAUUGGAUAAGGGGACAAAAACUUCCAUUUCCAGAAUUAUGGCAAAUUAGGUAUUCUGAACCCCUGAAGCCUUUAUAUGUAGAACAUCCAGGAUUACUGCAUAAAAAAAUCACAAGUUUCCUUUUAAUGCAUAACUGAGAUCGAAAUAAAGUCCCUAAGUUUAGAAACUGCAGAGGAAACUGAAACUCAGAGAGGCAAAUUAAGACUGGGACUCUCCUGGGGAAAUCUGAUGACCUGGAUAAUCCAGCAAUUUAAGUUUUAAUGGCUGCACAGGGACAGGGUCAAAGCCCACAGCACAAGGAACCAGAAGAAUGAGGAGCCAAAGCUGGGACCACUGAAGGGCUACAUCCUCAAUGGAUGGGUGGAGGAGGCAGAGGAAGACCUCAGGGAACCACUCUGCCUUGACCUAGGUGCUCAGCUCCCUUGAGAAUGUAUAGCCACAGGUUUACUCUCUCAGAGUUUGAGAUUCAAAAUUGCACUCCUUGCAUUCUCCAAGAAACUACAAGCAGAGAAAUUACACAAGGUGGUCCCCACAGCCAGUGUUCCCAGGUCCUCUCUGGAGGGACACAGCUGCAACUCAGACCCCCAUAGGAUCCCCACUUGAGCUCACCAUCCCACAUUACAAAAUACACAAAAGAACAAGCCACCAUGAGAUGCAGUCUUCAGAAAGAACCCGUGGAAGAGUCAGACCUCAAGAACUUCAGACAAUGUAAUUAUCAGCUCUAGAAAUAAGAGAAGGUUCAAGUUGUGUGAAUAAAUGAAAAAGUGAAUCAAAAAUAAAAUAAAGAAAUAAGAUGCUACUUUUAGACACAGAAGUAUUAAGUAAAUAAAUGGAAUUUCUAUAACAAAAAUAUAAAAUCAUGGAAAGUAAAAACUCAAGCAUAGGAUAAAGUGCAGAACAGCUGCAUAGAAAAUUAGUGAACUCAGACAGGAAGGUUUGAGGGUAAAGGUUUGAGAAGAGAGGACAGACCUGUGGCUGGAGCUAACAGCCAAGAGAUGGAGCAUGGGAGGGAUUAAUAAAAGGAUUAUCAAGCAGCAAUGAAGAGGAAGAAAACUGAGGAUAAAAAAUUUAGAAACUCGGGGAAUUUUUUAAAUCAGCAUUUCUUAAAACCUUCUUUACUGGUGCUUGGCAGCUUGGUAAGUUGGAGAAGAGAAUUAGGAGAAGAGAAGUCCUACUAAGGGCAGUAGGACUUAGUAGACAGUAACAGAGUCAAUGCUUUCAGGAGCAGGGUUUCUCAACCUUAGCACUUGCUCUAAAGGGCCUGGGACUUGAUAUAAUCAGGCAUGGAAAGACAUGCAGGUACAGUGGUGACUGUCAUAAGGAAGAAGUGUGUCCUCGCAGAUCCCUAGAACAGGAGGCAUGGCAUGUCACACACAGCCUCACAGGGAAGCAAUGGGAUAGGUCAGGAGGAAGAGACAGUGAGUAGAAGACAUGGGCAAGAGCCUUGAUGUGGUUUCUUUGGGAAGGAAUAGAUGAGGCGAGGUAGGCAGGCUUGGGAUUGGCCAGUUUGAACCACUGCAGCAGGCUUUCAGCCACAGGGGCUUGGCCUAGUGGUCUGGUAUCUGACCCUGGGGUGGUCAGGGCAGGUGAAUAGUGGCCCAGUGUGUAAAAGCCCAACAGUGGAAGUGUUGGGGGUAUAGGCUCUGGGGUGUUGUAGGCAGUUCCUCCAGAGUCAGCAAAGCCCCAGGAUGUCAAAGCAUCAGAUACAGAAUAUAAAAGACAUAAUUAAUAAAGCACUCCUGACAUUUGGGGCAGAUUUUUCUUUCUUGUGGGUGGGAGGUGUGAGCAGGGGGACUCUUCUGUGUAUUGCAGAAUGUUGAACAGCAUCCUUGGCCCCUGCAUGGAUGCCAGUAGCACCACGACUCCAAGCUGUGCAACCAAAAACGUCUUCAGACAUUGCCAAACGUCCCCUAGUGGACACAAUCAUCCCAUCAUCCCCAGUUGAGAACCACUUAAAAGUGAAAGAAUAAAAAAGCACAGCAUUGAAAUAGUUGGUCAUAGAUCUGAGAUGCGUAGUCAAGAGGCCCAUUUGGAAUUGAUACCGUUAAAAUGUGAACUGAGUACUGGAUAAAAGGUCAGAUUUGGUAAAAUGAAAGGUUGGGAGGAUAGAGGGUUGUGAAGUUGUGGGCAAAGCGGAACUUGAAGGGAUGUCUGUAGGGGCAGAGCUGAAAUGAUUAGAGAUGGACAUAAUUCAAGCUGAGGAGGCCAGGAGAAAAACAGGAACUAUUUUCUUGCUGCGUGGCUCAAACUCUUAAACAUGAAGCUUCUGUGCAUCUUUGGGAGGGUGCGGGAGGGGUCAUCAGUUUACGCUGAUACCGUGGAAGUCUCCUGUUCACAUGGCAGGUCGUAGUUUAUAGAGAAAGAUUUUGCUCCUGAUACCAAAGGGGCAAUCAGGCAAUCUAAUCCUCACCAAUCCCUAAUUGAUUAGCUAAUGAAAAAGACUGAGUUUCAAGUAGAGAGCAGACUUGGCGACGAAGCAGAGACAGAAAGAAGAGAGAGGUCACACGGCCAAGUCACAGGGCCAGCACUGCAGAACUGAGCCAGAGUGCACAGCAACCCUCAGGAUGGCUCCGCCUAAGGGAACUCUGUGAAAGUCCACUUUUUAUACCAUCUUUUACCCACCUCUUUUCUUACCCCAAAGUUCCUUUAUGUAGCUCGAAAUGCCAAAGACUGUAUGGUUUCCUACUACCAUUUCCAAAGGAUGAACCACAUGCUUCCUGACCCUGGUACCUGGGAAGAGUAUUUUGAAACCUUCAUCGAUGGAAAAGUGGUUUGGGGUUCCUGGUUUGACCAUGUGAAAGGAUGGUGGGAGAUGAAAGACAGACACCAGAUUCUCUUCCUAUUCUAUGAGGACAUAAAGAGGGACCCAAAGCAUGAAAUUCGAAAGGUGAUGCAGUUCAUGGGAAAGAACGUGGAUGAGACAGUGCUAGAUAAAAUUGUCCAGGAGACGUCAUUUGAGAAAAUGAAAGAAAAUCCCAUGACGAAUCGUUCUACAGUUUCCAAAUCUAUCAUGGACCAGUCAAUUUCCUCCUUCAUGAGAAAAGGAACUGUGGGGGAUUGGAAAAACCACUUCACUGUUGCCCAGAAUGAGAGGUUUGAUGAAAUCUAUAGAAAAAAGAUGGAAGGAACCGCCAUAAACUUCUGCAUGGAACUCUGAGCAAGAUGUAAAUAAAAUUAACAGGUGGAUGGCAAGAGUGCAAAUACUAUCUUCAGUCCUUCAGUCCCAGCCAGAAGAAUCUCUGAAAGCAUAUUGUGAAUGUAUACGAUGUAGUACAAAUGAUUUCUGUGAUGAUUAACAGUAUGUCACCACUUCAUUUUUAAAAAGGGAUCAUGUCUAAUGCCCAUUUUCCCAAGUAUUCUUUCCUAAGUAAGAUAUAAGAUAGAUUAAUAAACUAAGUAAAACAUA
rnacentral:sRNA from 1 species